rnacentral:rRNA from 1 species
CAGCCGCCACGGUAAUACAGAGGGUGCGAGCGUUAAUCGGAUUUACUGGGCGUAAAGCGUGCGUAGGCGGCUUCUUAAGUCGGAUGUGAAAUCCCUGAGCUUAACUUAGGAAUUGCAUUCGAUACUGGGAAGCUAGAGUAUGGGAGAGGAUGGUAGAAUUCCAGGUGUAGCGGUGAAAUGCGUAGAGAUCUGGAGGAAUACCGAUGGCGAAGGCAGCCAUCUGGCCUAAUACUGACGCUGAGGUACGAAAGCAUGGGGAGCAAACAGGAUUAGAACCCGCGUAGUCCCUGUCUCUUAUACC